rnacentral:rRNA from 1 species
GACGAACGCUGGCGGCGUGCCUAACACAUGCAAGUCGGACGGGGUGAUUCUUUCGGGGAUCACUUAGUGGCGAACGGGUGAGUAACGCGUGAGGAACCUGCCUUUCAGUGGGGGACAACAGUUGGAAACGACUGCUAAUACCGCAUAAUGUGUUUGAGUGGCAUCACUUAAAUACCAAAGCUUUAUGUGCUGAAAGAUGGCCUCGCGUCUGAUUAGCUAGUUGGUGGGGUAACGGCCCACCAAGGCGACGAUCAGUAGCCGGUCUGAGAGGAUGAACGGCCACAUUGGGACUGAGAUACGGCCCAG